rnacentral:rRNA from 1 species
UUUAUGGAGAGUUUGAUCCUGGCUCAGGACGAACGCUGGCGGCGUGCCUAAUACAUGCAAGUCGAGCGGAUCUGAUGGAGUGCUU